GGGUUUUGGUUUUUUGUUUUGUUUGGUUUUGGUUUUGGUUUUGGUUUUGGUUUUGGUUUUCGUUUUCGUUUUCGUUUUCGUUUUCGUUUUGGUUUUAAGGCGGGUAUUUCCCGCAGCCAGAUGGGAGCGUGGAUCCCUCCUUUCUGCCCGCCUCUCUUGCUGUUCCUGCAUGGUCUGGAGAGGCGGUCGGGGGAAGGGGAGCGUUUGGUCCGGGUUGUGUGGGUCGCCCUCCUUUUGUGCGCUGAUUUCUACGUGUACUCCGCAGCGCAGGCAGUUUCCUCCAUCUCCUGUGUGACCCUGGCACAAAUGCUUAGAAAACGCGUUAAUACGCGCAUGUGUUUGUGUCCAUAUGUGUCUGUGGGGUUUUUCUUAAGCCCAUGACAAAGCACUAUGUGGUCUGAAUGGCAAUCAGUGACAGUGUCUCCGCAUAAAUCACAGUUUACCACUCAAGGGGCCUGAUACAAAAACAGUUCCAUCAUCAGUUUCUUCUUCAAAGACAGACUGCAGCAACUGUCUUAAAACAUGGAUUUUUCAUCAAAGAAAGCAAGAAUCUUUCACAAUUCUGAUCUCCCACAGGUCACAUUUAUGCAAAAGAGAUGACCAGGAAAAAAAGCAGAAAUUCACAAAAGGCACAAUUUAGGUUUUUAUUUCUUAAGUUUAAAAACCUAUAUGAGAACAGAGGUUAAACUCAGACAAUUAUCAGAAAGUCUUUUUUAUCAAUUAUGGAAGCAAAACUUCUGUCAACCCAUGCCUUUCAGCUUAUCCAGAAUAUUGCAGAGUUUUGGCUAUAGCAAUGUAAACUGAGAGAAAAAAUUGCAUGGCCUAGAGACUGGAGGGGAGGGAAAAAAAGGCCUUUAAAAUAAAAUAGAGCUGAAACAUCCACUGAUUCCACUUUUGUUGGUACAGAGUGGGAAGUCAUAAAGUCUUGUAAACUCACAAUGCCUUGUCAGAAUCAACAGUGUAAUCCACAUCUCCUUGAGACCAAAAGGUAGAGGGUACAAUCCCAGAGCCUGGAUGACAGACUGUCAGGAACAGAGCUUUCCCUUUUGAUCCCAAGCAGCUGCAUUCAGUAUGGCCAGCAGUUCUGGGGCCAGUUUCAUCUCCAGCUAGAAUGUCUUAGAACCAGAUCAAGCUUCCCAUCUAAUUCAGGAGCCACAACAGUGACAUCGGCUCUGGAAGGAUCAUUGUGCUUCUGUCAUAUACAGACCUGGACCGGGUUUUACAAACCUACGUAUUCAAACACUGACUGAGUGAUGGGAGAGAUGCAUUUCCUUUUGAAAACUGCUUUCAAAUGAAAACAUUACUUACUCCCCCGAAAGGUUCAAUACUGCAUCUACAUUUGUCUGCAUUUCCAUUAUUUAAGGAUAAGUUGUUCAAACUGAGCUGUUUUCCUCCCUUCCUCACGCUCUGGCAGGAGGAUUCCAGAGGCUGCAGCAGCGCACUUAUGCAGGAAAAUGAAGCUAUUUUCCACAACAGCAGCAAAACUAAAGUCAAGGAAGAACACAUUCUAUCCACUCAUUUAGUCUAUACAAACAUCUUCUGAAGCUGUUACUUGGUUUUUAAAGAAAAAUAAAGAAAGCAUAAAAUUCUGUAGUUAAUUUUUCUUUCUGUCCAAAAGCAUUUGACUUAUCAAGACAAUACUGGGCUGUGGCUGAAUCAGCAAUUUAUAAUCAGAGCUGGGAGAAGCAAAAAAUUAUAUAAAGACUAAACCCAGCUCUGUAAUUUUUAAUAACCUUGUUUCUCCUUGUGUCAAUCUUAUCAAGAAUGAGGAAAGACAUAGCCUUGUGGACUGAAGAGAGAUGUUAGAGGUGUUGUCUCCAAACAGCAGCUGUUCAAUUAUUCUUAAUGUGCUGUGGAGAUGCAAGAAGAGCAUCCCUGUGGAAGCAUUAAGUUCUAGGAGAAAAUACUGGUUUUGGAGAGUGAAAAGGAUAUGUUCUGAAUUCAUUUGGUGAUUCCCUGCCUCUUCUCCCAAGCUUAAAUGGGGUGAUGGUUCUUUUUUUUUUUAAUUUGCUAUGUGUCUCCUUAUAUGUCCAUAUAUGCCCUUAUGUCUCUGUUUCUUCUUUUCUUGUGUAUUAAAGAGGCAUUCUUUCCCAAUUCAAAUAACUAUAGCCUAAAAUACUUUCUUGACUCCUUUUCUUAUUUUUUCAUACCUCCAUUUUUUCUCACACUACUGUUGCUUGUUUUCUGCCCACACGUUCCAGGCACUGGGUGGUACAGCACUGUACAACUUAGCACCAGUUUACGGCAAACUAGGUGGUGGUGCUAUAGAACAGGCUCUAAUAAGAAACUUUUUAAUGCAUAUGACUUACUAGCCUUUGUAAACCAUCUUCAUCAAAGUAUGCAAUUAAAUAUUUAUUUUCUUAAGAUAGGUAUACACUAUAUAUCUCAACACAUAAUAUAUAGAAGCUAUGGUGAUUCUACACAGAUACAAGCAAUAAAUAGUUGAUCCCUUUAUCUCAGUCUUCCAUGGAAAAUGCAGUUAUUCCAAGCAGGAAAGACUGCAGAAUAAGUGACUGUCUGAACAUCAUAUUACACAGUCUUAUCUGCAUGGCCCACAAUGCUCAUUUGCAUAGUUACUGCAUAGUAGGCUUUUAGGACCUCAAACACCCAGUCCGAAUACAAAAAAAUCCAAAAAUAUAUUAUCCUAUUUGAGCAUGCUAAAGAAACAUGGGGGAUCUAAAUACAUAAAACAAAGACUGGGAGAACUAGUAAGAUUCUAUUUGAAGGCAAAUAAAUGCUAUGUAUCUGUUAGAAAGUGAGAAGAUGGCUGUAAGUUCCACAAUUCAGUUAUUUUAUUCUGGCUCUGAAUGCUCAUUGACAGUUACAGGAAUGCUUUACAAGGAUUAAGAAAGAACUAUAGCAAAAAAUAUUAAAAUAAUUGGAGUGUAAUUUUGUAUUUGCCUUUUGUCUUAGUGUAGCAGCUAGGAGCACUGAUUAUGUGGUAUAAAUCUUUUCAGUUUCAAGAUUUGCCAUGCCGGUGAAAAGAGGAAAAAGGCUGUGGAUGGAAAGGCUAAGUAAGCCUUUUUACAGCAUUUUUAAUAAUUGUGCCUUAAUUGCAUUUGUUACAUACAUCACCUUUCAUGUACAUUGGAAUUGUUGAUCUCAUAUUUGGAAGAGCAGUAGUUUUCCAUAAUCAAAAAGCAAUAUCCAGUCAUCCUGUCAUAUUCAGUUCCUUUUUUCUCCCUGUCACCACAUUAAAAGAAAAAAAAAUCAACAAUAACAACAAAACACAAUUAAAAAAAAAAAAAAAAAACAGAAAGUAAGUUAAGUUCCAUGUGAUUAAAGGUGAGUUGAAGGAGGCAGGCGAAUCUUAAGUUUGCAAAGCAAAUCUGAGUAAAAAAAGAGAAACUUUACAGCUUCUUGACCCAUGACAGUUUUGUGUUAAAUACCACAUGAUUUAAAUCUGCUUUAAGCCUCACAAUGUAUCUUCCAUUUCCUGUAAGGGAUGAAGAAAAUAACAUGAUAGGGGAAAGACUGUGGAAAUCACACUGAUGAAAAUACUGUUUCAAACCAGUUGCCAUCAUUAGGAACCAUUAUAAGACCAUGAAAAUUUAAUCCUAAUUCUUAAUCACAUAUGUUUCAGUAUUUUGCUAUUUUGGGGGCUUCUUUUGAACUAAGAAACUGAAAUUAUUCUGUCCUUUUCCUGAAUCUCUGCUAAAAUAAUAACUAAAAAUAUAGCACCUUUAUGCCUGUUCUGCAGGGCAUAUAUUUAUUACCUAAUGAUCAAACACAGAGAAGAACUUUCAGGAGAAUGAAUGUCCAUGACAACAUCAGAAUAAUUUGCUGUAGUUUUGUGACAUAUUUUGUUCCACUAAGUCAUACAACAGUGCAGUACAUUACUAUUAGUUUGAAUAACCUUUUAGAUAUUUAAAAUUAUAUGGUCAUUUAUGAUUUGGAUUUGUUGAUGACUCAUCUCCAGCAGAAUCAAAGUAGUACAAAGCUAUGCAUAGUACUCCUGAUCGAAAAACUGAGUUGUAUAACAGAAGAAACAAAACCUCCAAAAGAGGCUUAAAGACAAGAAAACUAGGCCAGCACCAGUGAAAUACCAUUGUGUCAUCCACAAGUGAGUAAUUCUGACAUAAAAAAUAAUAAAAAGUAGUUAUUUAGACACUUACAAGCUUGAUAGUUUAAGGAAAUAUCUUGAUGAUAUAAGUAACAUAAGGGAAGUCCUUUUAGAAAGUGUGACUUGGUUUUUGUAUCUAGUCAUUGCAAGAAAUAAUUAGCAAAUUCUAAUUCCACAUCUUUUGAAAAAAUUAUAACAUGUAACAUAUAAAUUUAAAGGAAUGUAAAGUUACAUGGCAAGCAUGGAGUACUCAUAAAAAAGAGAUAAUUGCCUUUAAUGUAUUGCUAUGAAAAAAGCAUUUUAUAAUAUUCCCUUCUCAAGUGUGUGCUGACAGCUGUUCACUCCCCACAUUUGAGCAACCCUAGCAGGUGUGUGUUAUAAAAAGAUGAACUUAAUUUGGAGAAGGAAGGAAAUAAACUAGUUUCAUACACUUCUGAAAUCCUGCCCUUAUAUGUUAGUGCAGAACACAAUGUGUAUCAUUACUGAAUCAUUAUUGCUGGCUGGAGUCAUAUUCUCUUAAUUGAACAAAAAAGUUGAAGCUGAUACUUAAAAUUACAUGGAAUAUAUUUAAGUACUUGCUUUACAAGGUCAAAAAAAUUCCAUCUAUUACCUAUGUUAUCUGAUUAUCUGAAAAUGAACUAAUCAUAUAUUAUCCAAACACUUUGGAAUUUACAAGGACUUGUUCAGUAAAAUAAUGGCAGCAGCUUCCACUAUAUUGCUUCACUGUGCUGUCAGCAGGAAAUAUGCUGGCAUACUAAAAAGCUGUAUUUGAGUAAGACGUGCUUUCCACCUCAAAAAAUGAAAACAGUCACAGACUUUUGAAAAAAAAGUUAAAUCCAUCUUUUAAGUCAAUAUUCCUGUAGCUUUAAUACCAUGAGAGGAUAUGCUCAUUACAAUUACUUUAUAACCAUAUAUCUUUUUCUUGGAGAAACUUAUUGUUAUGGUGAAAGUCUAAUCUAACUGAAUUGACAGUAUUUGGAAUGAUUCACUGGAGAACUGAAAAAGAACUUGUUGUUCUGGGAUAAAAAGCAGCAUUAAAAAUACUGAUUGAUUGU